UACAGAGGUCUCAAGCGUUGUUCGGAUUCAUUGGGCGUAAAGGGUGUGUAGGUGGCGUCGUAAGUCGGGUGUGAAAUUUCGGAGCUUAACUCCGAAACUGCAUUCGAUACUGCGGUGCUUGAGGACUGGAGAGGAGACUGGAAUUCAUGGUGUAGCAGUGAAAUGCGUAGAGAUCAUGAGGAAGACCAGUGGCGAAGGCGGGUCUCUGGACAGUUCCUGACACUGAGGCGCGACAGCGUGGGGAGCGAACAGG
rnacentral:rRNA from 1 species